rnacentral:lncRNA from 1 species
CCGCACCACUGCUUCUGCUGUCGCUGCCGCCGCCGUCGCUGCUGUCCUCGCCGCCGCAGCCGCCACGACUCCCCUUCCCGCCCUGCACCGCCUCGCGCUACCCGGACCCGCCCCAGCGUGAGCUCCGAGGCCACCAGCGGAAAGAGACGAAAACCGCCUCAAAAGACGGGCGGCCCUCACUGGCCCGCUAUCCCCCCGGAGCCGCUUUCUCUCAUUCCCGGGUUUCUUUCCCCGCGCCGCGUAGGAUGCUGGGAUGGUAGUUCCUACCCGCCUGGCGACCGCGGCGCGCUACUCCCCUGCGCGUGGGUGAAGAAUGGAAAAGGAGUCUGAACUACAGCGAAGGUGUCUUCCUUCGCUGUUUAGAAGGUCCUGAAGGGCCUGGGAAAUGCAGGGCUGGUGACGGAAACCCUUCCAAAUUCAGCUUGGAUCAGAGAACUACAGGAAGCAAGGAUGCACAAAAAAAUUUCCCAGAAAAGCCAUACCUGUCAGGAUCACUGGUCUCUGUGACAGCAAAGAAAGGGCCUUUGCAAGAUUUAAAGCCCAAAAGAAAACCCUGGAGUCUCCUACCAUCCAUGAAACUGCCCAUAAAUUGCUGGUCCGGGAAAAACUAUGUCACUAAACAAUAAGUGUUCAAGAAAGACUAUAGCGCAGCAUCAAUACAAAGAUUUUAUAAGAAACAAUUCGAUAAAGCUGGAAAAAUGGAUAAAUGCAUGAAAACAUUCACAAGAAGGAUGAUGUCACAGAACUAGCGAGAAUGCUGAUUAUGUCAUAUAUCCACCACAAGGUAAAGUUUUUAGUGAAAUGAUCACUUCUGUAUAGGAAAAUCACAAAACACACGUGUAGGAACUCAUGUGUUACUAAGUUUUUUCUUUGGCAUUUUGGCUGAACUACCUUUGGACUGAAAAUGUAUUUCUUAUUCAGAGAACAUAAAAAUAUUCUUGUAUUUAACAUUUUUUUCAUCUGAGUCCAUUUUUUGCUUUUCAUUCAUCUGAAAGUUUCUAUGUAAUAUGGUUUGAAGUAGGAAUAUAACUAUGUUUUCCAUUUAUUAGUUGUCUCAGUAUCAUUGAAUAAACCUUCCUUUCCCUACUUAUUAAAGAUUCUG